UACAGAGGGGGCGAGCGUUGUUCGGAAUUACUGGGCGUAAAGGGCGCGUAGGCGGCCCGCUAAGUCGAACGUGAAAUCCCCAGGCUCAACCUGGGAACUGCGUCCGAUACUGGCAGGCUUGAAUCCGGGAGAGGGAUGUGGAAUUCCAGGUGUAGCGGUGAAAUGCGUAGAUAUCAGGAGGAACACCGGUGGCGAAGGCGGGUCUCUGGGCCGUAACUGACGCGUGAGGAGCGGAAAGCCAGGGGAGGCAAACGGG
rnacentral:rRNA from 1 species